rnacentral:tRNA from 1 species
GUAAAUAUAGUUUAACAAAAACAUUAGAUUGUGAAUCUAAUAAUAGAGACUAACAUCUCUUAUUUACC